rnacentral:rRNA from 1 species
UUAUUUAAUGGCCGCAGUAUUCUGACUGUGCAAAGGUAGCAUAAUCAUUAGUUCAUUAAUUGUGGACUUGUAUGAAUGGUUGGACGAAAUAUUAACUGUCUUAUUAUUUAAAAUUANAAUUUAAAUUUUGAGUUAAAAUGCUUAAAUUUUAUUAUUGGACGAGAAGACCCUAUAGAUCUUUAUUUUAAUUUUUAUUAAUUAUUUUGGUUUAUUUAUUGUUAAUAGGUUUUAUUAUUUUGUUGGGGUGAUGUUGAGAUAUAAUUAACUCUUUAUUAUAUUAUACAAAUAUUUUUGUUUAUAUGACCUUAUUUUAUUGUUAUAAGAUUANAUACCUUAGGGAUAACAGCGUAAUUUUCUUUGAGAGUUCAUAUCGACGAGAAAGAUUGCGACCUCGAUGUUGGAUUAAGAUUAUUUUUAGGUGUAGCCGCUUAAUUAAUAAGUCUGUUCGACUUUUAAAUUCUUACAUGAUCUGAGU